AUUUGUUUACUAUUGUGAAUGAUUUUUCAGUCUCCUUUUUGCAAGACGUGUAAAGUUUGUAAAUGUUUUUCUGUGUAAAUAUUUGUGUUUUUUACUGUAAAUAAAUGUAAAAUUUUGUGUUUUUCUUGUGUUGAAAUAAUGUCGGCUACUUUACGUUAUCGUGGUGAUAAAAAUAAUUUAAUAGAAUUGGCCAAAAAUUUAGACGCGUUUAAGAAAGUGCCGGAAAAAUAUACAGAGACUACAGAAAUUGGUGGCACUUUAUCCCUCAUUAGUAGAUUGCUGAUCAUAUUCUUGAUCUACAAAGAAGUUUUAUACUAUAAAGAUGCCAAAUUAAAAUAUCAAUUUGAACCGGAUAUAGAUACGGAAAAGGUGCAAAUGCAUGUCGAUAUAACAGUGGCCAUGCCCUGUUCCUCUCUCUCCGGGGUGGAUUUAAUGGAUGAAACUCAACAGGAUGUAUUUGCCUAUGGUACCUUACAACGUCAAGGUGUAUGGUGGCAAAUGUCACCGGACGAACGUAUCGAGUUCGAACGACAGCAAUAUAUGAAUCAUUAUCGUCGUGAACAAUAUCAUUCCAUAGCUGAUAUCCUUUUUAAGGAUAUGAUUAAGAGUAAUGAGGCUCAUGAACAGCCUUUAGGGGAUAAUGGCAAACCAGUGCCCGAGGAUCAAUAUGAUGCUUGUCGUUUACAUGGUACUUUGGGUAUUAAUAAGGUGGCGGGAGUUUUGCAUUUGGUAGGAGGAGCCAUGCCCGUAGUAGAUCUAUUUGGGGACCAUUUAAUGAUUGGUUUUCGUCGUAUGCCAGCAAAUUUUACACAUCGUAUAAAUCGUUUAAGUUUUGGUCAAUAUUCGAAGCAUAUAGUGCAGCCCUUAGAGGGAGAUGAGGUUUAUAUAACAGAGGAGGAAACCACCGUACAAUAUUUCUUAAAUAUUGUACCCACCGAAAUACACAACACGUUUUCCACCAUCAACACUUAUCAGUAUUCUGUUACGGAAAAUAAAAGAGUAUUGGAUCCUGUACAAAAUUCCUAUGGCAAUCCGGGUAUUUAUUUCAAAUAUGAUUGGUCGGCUUUGAGAAUCAUAGUGCGCACUGAUCGUGAUAAUUUAAUACAAUUUAUAAUACGUUUAUGCUCCAUAAUAGCGGGUAUUAUAGUUAUAUCAGGCAUUUUAAAUUAUGUUUUGGUAAAUCUGCAAAAAAUUCUUUUGCAAACCUUUGCUCCUCAACUUUUACACAAACGUCUUAAGGAAACUCCCGAGCAUAGUCCUUUGGCUGCCACUCCAGUCGCGGUACCUACACCAGUAGUCGUAACCAAUGAUUUAAUAAGUAAUGCCAAUAAAAUGUCAGCCCAGGUAACCGCUAUACUGCCCGCCAAUAGCAAUCUCAAGGAAUAAAUAAAAAUCUCUCCCUAAAUCCAAAGAAUCUCCGAGUUUCUAUAAUUGUUUUUCCCCAAAGUGUUUUAUUAACAAAACAGCCAUUUUGGAAUUUUCUUUUAGCAAAACGAAAAUGAGCUAAAAAGAAUGAACAAAAAUUUAAGAGAAUCAUUUUAUAACAAACGUUCGUUGGCAGCAGACGCAUUUUAAACGUUGUGACAAAAAAAGAAAAUAAUUAAAAAUUUAUUAUAAAAUAAAGUAUUUAUUAAAUUAUUUAAUAAAAUAAAGAAAAAAAGUUUUACACUUUAUAUAAUUAUAAAUAAUUAAAAACAAAUUUGCAAAGCGAACUUGUUUUUAACGAUAAAACAAAAAAAGUAAUAUAGAAGAUAAACUGCAAAGGAAAACCGAAAAAAGUGUAUCUGUAUCUAUAAAAUACAAGAAAAUUAAAUAGAAAAAAAUUAGAACACAUCCAACUAAUUUACAACACAAACUAUUAGAAAAAUUAUUAAAUUUAAUAAAUCAAGAAAAAAAGAAAAUUUUUAAAUAAUUGUGUAACAACUAAUAGCUGAAAUUUUUUGCUAAAAUAAUUAACAAAAAAACACUACUCAUUAUAAGAAUAAUAAAAGCAAAAGAGAAUAACAAAGAAAAAAAUAUUAAUGAAGUAAUAACGAAAAAAUUUAGUUAAUUUGCGAAAGAAUAAACAUUUUGUAUUAAAUUAUACAAAAUAAGUUGAAAAAAAAAAUCAAUAAAAUCGAUUUUCAUAGUGAAAAAAGCAAAAGAAGAAGCAAAGAACACUCCCCGUGGGUUAAGUACAAAAAAGCAAAAAAAAAAAAGGAAAAUUGAGAAAAGAAAUUAGAAGUGAACCAAAAAACAAACGUAAAAAGACUACGUCCGCCAUCAUAGUU